ensembl:lncRNA
GUUCUGUGCGGCAUUCUGGGAAAGCUCCCGGAAGGGCGGGUGGCUGGCCUCGCGUGGGCCACCCGCUGUCCAUCGUGAAAGGGGACGCGAGGCCAGGAAGCUGCGCUGUGAGCACAGGGCACGCCUCACCGAGGGCGCCGAGAGAGGUGGAGGAGGAGGCCGGGCCCGCGGGCGUCUUGGAGCUGCUGGGCCUGCACCGGCCCGCCGGACACCUCGGUGGGUGAGAAGAAUAAACCCGACGCCCUUCCUGGAUUUUCCACGAUGCCGGGGGACAUGGAGCCAGACUAUUUUGAAGAGGAAGGUGACCUGUAAAGGCCAUGUCCUCUUUCUCAAUUUAAAUGACUCCAGGACCAACUUCCAACCACCAGCCCCGUGUCUUUUUGCCUGGGGGGCUUUCUCUGGUCCCCGAAUCCCACUCUGACGCCCUGUGUGAAGAACUUACCUGUGUGGGCGCUAAUACGCCUGCCCUAGGAAAAGCAGGAGAUGAAAAUAAACAGCCAGGUCUCGGCAUUCUGGUGGACAGCUCUGUGACACGUGUGCUUCACGCCGCCUCCUGGUUUCCAUGUGGUCACUCUCAAGUCGCCCGCAGUGGUAACUGAGUUGAUGACCUUUACUGGAUGUCUUCCGCUCCCCAUCUCACCUCCCCACUGCCCUCAAGUGUCUCCUCCUCCUCCCAACUUAAUCGCAGGUGUUGAGUCUGUCAGUUCUGCCACCAGGGACCUGAAAAGGAAGACGAUAGCUGAGAAGGAGAGAAGGGCACUGGGGCAUUCUGGGGUGUCGUCCCACGGGGGCAUUCAUUUAUUGGGAGCUCUUUGAGCUGUACACUUAUAGUGUGUGUACUUUCCUCUAGGUAUGUUUUACAUUGUACCAUAAUAAAAAGUUGGUGUAUAUAAAGAAUAGGGCACAUUUUACCGAGAUACCAGAAUAUGCUGGAGGGAUGGGAGUGGCAGGAAUCACACUGGACACAACACACAGAGUACACAUACAAAGAAGUUAAUUUUGUCAAAUGAUGUGUGAAUGAGUGAACUAGAAAAUACAUAUAUUGUUGGGUAAAUGAAUGAACCAGAGGAUAAUAAAGAAAUGCGUGAAUGAGGCAAUGACAGGAUGAGCACAUUUGAGAAUGAGCGAGUGAAGGAACCAGUGAAAGAAGUUGUCCCCGGUGACGAGUGAGGAGCUAAGUGCCCACAUGGACAAUGGAGGGAGGAGUGAAUGGAUGAAAGGACCACAAUUCCAGGAAGUAGGAGCGAAUGGACCGAGGAGUGAGGCCUGGAAUAAACUUGACACGUGAAUGAAUAUGUGAAGGCAUGGAUGAAAGAAAGAAUAAAUGAAGGAAAAUACUGAAGACAUGAAUGAACGAAUGAGUAGAUAUAAAAGUGUAAGGAGCAAUGAGCAAAUGAACAAUUAUAUAAAUGCGGAAGUGGAUAUAUGGUUCCAUGUGUUCUCGCUGGAUCUUAGGGGGAGUAAUUUGCAGAGCAGAAAAUGCCCAACUCAGAGGCAAGUGUCUCCCCUCACAUCCCCGGGGCCAAGGUCUUGGCAAAUCACCACGGCCCGCCCAGAGCAGGUUCCUGAGGUGAUUCAGUUUGGAUUUAAUAAGAACAUUGUUAAGCAAAUAUCAAGGAUGCCACGGAGUGGCCACUCCCUUGGAUCGAUUCUGGGUUCAGUGGAAAGAACUAAAUAAUAACUGACUACAAUUAUGCACCACAUAACCAUGCUCAGUCAACCACAGACGGCGUAUACGACAGUGGCCCCACGAGGUUAGUGCCACACAGCCCAGGUGUGCAGGAGGCUCUAGGGUCUAGGUUUGUGUAAGUACACUCUAUGAUGUUCCCACAGCGACGAAAUCACCUAGUGACACAUUUCUCAGAACAAGUAUCCAUCGUUCAGCGAUGCAUGACUGUAUAUCGUUUUCACGAUUAGGUCGCAGAUAAUUACCUAUUAUGUAGCCAACUCCCAGCAAGAUUUUAAUAUUCAAUAUUUAAAUAACACAUUUUCACUGUCUCCUUCAAAUUAGCCUCCGGGAAGUGUAAUUAAUGUCAGCUGGGAAGGUUGGCUGUGUGGCCUGGGAAUGAGGAAGGGGGUCGGCGCUGUCGCUGUGAUCGUCCUAUGAGACCCCGAGGCCGGGUGGUGCUGUGCACAGAGCUCAGGUUUGGGAAAACCUCGGUCCAGGACGUCGGGCAGGUCAGUCCCCAUCUGGGCCUCCAUCACCUCCUCUAUGAAAUGAAGAUGAUUCUCCUAAUUCCCCGACUCCCAGGGUUAUCGGGGCGCUCAGUGUAGACCCAGGUCAGGGUCAGGGUCAGUCCACCAGUCCCCCGCUGUGCCCCACAGUGCAGGCACAUCCCUCAUCCCGGGGUAAGCAGGUCUUCUCUUGAUGCAUAUUUCUGCCCCACAGACUGAGGGCCGGGACCGAUCUUGUCCUCAGCGCGUGUUCAGCACCCAGGGCAGUGUCUGCACACAGUAGGCACUCGGUGAACGUUGGUGGAGGAAACGAAGGGAUCUCGUGUAGUGUGGGUUUUAGAAGCUGCCUAAGGUCCCUUUCAGAACAACGAGGUUUGAUAGGCAGAUGGCCACUUACCAGGGUCCUCAUGGAGCUUGUCAGGGUUGCCCACCUCUGAUGCUCUUCCAGCUGUCACUUGUUCCCUUAAGUCCAUCGGUGUCUGCCUGUCUCGGCCCCUCCCCCUUCCUGUGCGCCACCGCCAAUAUCUGGGGGCCUGAAAAGAAUGCAGACAAGCUGGUCGGAUUGUGCGUGAAGGAAGCAUCCACGGGCUCUGAUGAGGGGCCCAGGGGCUCUGCUCUGAGUGACAGUGCCCGCGGGAAUGACGUGUCCCCGGGUCUCCACAUGGACCUGACCUGGCUCAGCCUUGAUGAGAGAUCAGCACAUGGGUCUGAUGCCCACAGGGACAAGAGGGGCAGAGACCUCCUGAGUCCUGUGAGUGCCUGGAGGAGGCGGUGAGGGAGAUGCCGGGUCCCUGACAAAGGACUCUAUGCUGCCCCUGCCAUCUGUCGUGUAGAUUGAAUACCUGUGAUUCUGGAAUUUCUUCCUCUUCCAGGAGUCUGCUUUCCUAAAUAGUCCAGCUUCACUCAAACUGUCUUCCCUUCUCUGAGGCACUGGGAACCACACCUGAUGAGGUCCCACCUUUGAGUGUGAAGGACAGUCCAUGGUCCCCUUGUCUGUGUCAGACCCUCCUGACUGUCUGGGUGAUGGCCAACCCCCUCCCCCUGUCAGCCCCGAGAGGAUUGGCCGUGGUGGGGGCAGGAGAGGAGAGAGUAUCAUCCUAAGGGGCCUGCAGUGCAGGGAGAGGAGCGGACUCUGGCCAUGAGGAGCCACGAGCUGGUGCAGGGAGCACAGCAGCCGGGUCUGCACAGCCCAGCUCGGCACGCCCUCGUGUAGGGGUCAGGAGCCCCGAGGGGACCCCUGGUGGGCCCAGGGAAUCACGUGGCCACCAGUUACCUUGAGCUCUAUCACAUACAGGACCCUCCACCAGUUCAGGACCUGCCUGUCCCCAUCUCAGCCAAUGGUGCUGGGCAGAGACCAGGUGACUGUCCCGGCCAGUCACCUACAUGGGCUCUGCCCCCCGCAGCGGGCCCAGCCUCACAGGGCAGCCCAGCAGGUACCCUGGGAACCAGAUCCAAGAUCCCUGCUCACCUUCCCAAGAUGGCCAAGGCCAUCUCCAGGCCACCUCUGGUGGGGACGCCACAGACAGCCAGGCCCCUCUUAUAUUUGCUACAUUCUUCAAGUGUCCUUGAUCAUCGCACAUUGCCCUUAGAGACAGAGGAAGAAAUUAUAAAAAUUAAAGAAGAAAUAGGCAGCAGUGGCUCCUAGGAAAUGAAAUCGUUUCCUUCUACACAGUUAAACACGAGCGUUUGAAAUGUCCUUGUCACACCUUGCACUGGCUCUGUCAGGGUGGAUUAUUGGAUUAUAAAAGGACUGGAGGUUUCUGGGCAUUCAAGGAGCAAAGAACCAGCUUCCGAGUCAGACAGACCUGGACCGUCUCAGCUCAGCCACGUCCUUGUGUGGGUGUCGCUUCAGCUUCCAGACCCUCAUCUGCUCACUUUUAAAGUGGGAGGUGACCCUCUCUCACAGGUAAAAGUGAAAGAAUGGGGGUGAGACAGCUCCGCACCUGGGACACUGCAAACAUCCAAAAUGAGGUUGCUGCCGUAUCAUCUAGGUGAGGAGUGAUGACAGAACAGUGGGUGUCUUAGGAGACACUUCCUGCCCCUUCGUCCCUCUGGAAAUUUCCUUGCUGGGCCGCUUGAGCCUCUUUGAUCAUCUCUUGUUCUUCUGAUAAAAUAAAGCUUGACUGCAGAAAGCUUUGUCAUCAAAGCUUCGUCGUCACUGUCACGUCCACAGACUCCACCUCUUACACGAGCUGCCCGGGAGCAAAGAGGCGAACGGCAGCCGCUCCCCCUGCCUGCGUCGCCGUGCACUGAGGACGGGAUGGGGAGUCUCACCGAGUCCCCAGGUCAACUGCAGGGGUCGCCAUCCUCCCACUGUGCAGGUGAGAAGCCUGAGGCUCAGAGCAGUGACGUCACAUCCACAACACAACAACAGAUGUUACUGCACCUGCCGUGAGACCCAGCGGGGAACAAGUCCCCGCGCCCGUGGGGCUGGCACAGAGGAUAAGGGAUGAAGACGUGACACUUGUGAAGGAGAAAAACAGAGCUGGCAGUCAGGUGGCCCCUUUGUCCCCACGGAAGGCUUGCCUGUGUCCUGCCGCCACAAGGCUUCUCAGAGCUGCUUUCUGCUGGGGAGGCCCUGGGCGUGGGAAGGGUGCCAGGGUUCACGUGCUUCGUCUCUGCCCAGCCUCACGACCGCCCUGUGUGCCCACAAUGCACAGACGAAGAAACUGAGGCUCAGAGAGGUGACAUCACCUGCUCAAAGUCAUGGAGUCAGUAAGUGGUCAGGGUGGCUUCAGGGUCAGAGGACUCGAGUUUGUGUCCAGGCUCGGCCAUUCAAGGGCUGUGUGACCUCAGCAAGCCUCUCACCGCUAAGCCUGUUUCCUCAUCAGCAACAUGACGAUGACAGCAGGACCUGCGUCAUGGGGCUGUUGUGAUGGGAAAUGAGCUGGUGCUCGGGAUGCAGAGGACAGUGCCUGGCACAGAGCGACGGUGAUGAUGAUGAUGAUAGUGACGCCCUCUCCGAUGGUGCUGACUCCGUUUACCCUUCAGGGCGGCCCUCAAAUGGAACGUGGUGUGACCUUUAACGAAGCCAGCUGGCGUCUCCAGCGGGCAGAUAAGAAAACUGAGACUCAAAGGCGGGGAGUCGUUCGCUAAAGCCACAAGAUGCUGAAAGCAGAGCCGAUUCUUUCAUCUUAUUGUGCUUUCCAUCCAUCCUGGUUUUCCCCUUUGCUUCUUUCUUCACUUUCCUUUUGACUCAUUUUCUUCUGUCCAUUACAUUGAUCAAAUAUUCUUCAUUACCUUUCUGCUUCCGUUGGUUUCAAAAGUCUGCAUCCCAUUUCUGUCCGUUUAUUAGUUACCUUAAAAAUGGAGGAAGUGUGCUUAUUUGGACUAACACAGCUUAAAGCUCGUCAGCCUCUCUGCCCUCCCUGUGAAUGGCACCAGGACUCCAAACGCCUUGACUCCAGUCUCCCAUCUUCAUGUCGGCUUCAGCUAGUGUUACGAUUCUGUCUCCUUUUUCCACCUCUCCCAACUUAGUUCUCACUAUUACUGUUGUUGGUUUCCCUCUUGUUUCUUGUAGACAACGAGUAGAUUUACCCCAUGUUCAUGGAUAAUUCUGCAUGCUUUUCCUACUUUCAUGCUAUUCCUUCCUUG